GUAACUAAGAGAGACAGAGAGAGAGAGAGAAAGAGAGAGAGCGUAGGAGAAAGAAAGAGGAAACGAAAGUGACUUCGGAGAACAGGAGGAGCUGGGGAGCUCAGAUGAAGAUGAGAUAGCAGCAGAUCCCUGUCAUGGCGCAUGGUCCUGGUCCAUUGCUGCUGUUGUUGUCCCUUCUGUUUGGAGCAGCUUCUGACCGGAUUAAGGUGGUGACAGUGCAUCCUGGAGAUAAUGUCACUCUGAACUGUACGGCUCCUGAUCACUCCAUCAUAGCUGUAGUGUGGACCAGAUCUGACCUGGAGCCAGAGUACGUCCUCUAUUACAGCGAUGAACACCUGGAUCCAACCAAACAGCAUCCAUCCUUUAAGGACAGGGUGGACCUGGUGGACAGAGAUCUGAAGGACGGAGACGUGUCUUUAAUUCUGAAGAAUGUGAGCAGCAACGACAACGGAACAUACGAGUGUCGAGUCGCAUCAAAAAGAACCGACCUUGACUCUGAGCCAAUCACUAUCAUCCGACUGCAGGUUACAGACUCAGAUUCAAACAGAAAAAACAAAAUGAAGGAUGUCCCUGAGGAUGGAAACUCCUCUCCUGUAGGCCAAUACGGUAGACUGGCAGCAGGUGUUCCAGUGGGACUGAUUCUUGUAGCUGUUGUUGCAGUGGUUGGUGUCCUGAUAUAUAGAAGACGUAGGGACAAUAGACCAGAACCGCCUCCAACGAGAGAAUCCAUUCCUCUACAAAGUUCCAGACCUCGUGUGUGAGGUCAUGUGUAAAUCUGUAGUAAUUUCUCCCUUCAAAAACCCCAUGUACUUUUUUCACUUACUUUAAAGACACCAAUAAUGUCUCCCCUAUCAUGGUGGAGGGGUCUGUGUAUCUGAGUCUGGGAUCUCUAUUAUCUGGAGCUCUGAGUCCUGUAGGGCAGGGGUGUCAAACUCAAGUUCACUCAGGCCCAGUGGUGGAAUGUAACAAAGUACAAAUACUUCGUCACUGUACUUAACGUAACCUUCACGUAUCUGUACUUUACUUAAGUACAAUCAAUAGUGCAUACUUUUGACUUUUACUUCGUUACAUUUUGCA